UCCACAUACCGGUGAAAUAUGCCCAAACAUAGUAAAACGGAGCAGGUAUCAGGCACGAAAUUCAGCCCAAAACACCAAGCUACGCCACACCCACACGGGCCUACAGCAGUGAUAAACAUUAAGCAAUGAGCGAACGAACACACCCUAAAGCUCGACUUAGUUAUGAUUAACAGGGCCGGUCAACCUCGUGCCAGCCACCGCGGUUAUACGAGGGGCCCAAAGCAGCAGAUUUCGGCGUAAAUCGUGACUAGAAUUUAUCUUAAAAACUAAAGAAUAAACCAUAACCUAACCGUAAAACGCAGGUUAAAUGAAACUAGCAAUCUUUACAACCAAGGAAAUUUGACUCACGAAAACUAAGGAACAAACUAGGAUUAGAUACCCUACUAUGCUUAGUCGUAAAUAUGACAAAAUACCACACCAGUGUCCGCCAGAAAACUACGAGCGAAAAGCUUAAAACUCAAAGGACUUGGCGGUGCUCCACACCAACUUAGAGGAGCCUGUCCUAUAAUCGAUACUCCACGAUAAACCCCACCAAUUUUUGCCAAACCCAGCCUAUAUACCGCCGUCGCCAACUUACCCCAUGAGGGAAAAACAGUAAGUGCAAUAGUUUAACACUAAAACGUCAGGUCAAGGUGUAGCUAAUAAAUUGGAAGAGAUGGGCUACAUUUUUUAAAAUACAAAAUACGGCACGACACCGUGAAAUGGGUGCCUAAAGGAGGAUUUAACAGUAAGACUAAUAAGAAAGCUAGUCUUAAACAUG
rnacentral:rRNA from 1 species